AGUGCUCCAAAUUCUAAAUGCUGCGGUUGCUUGAGAUGGGAAGCUGGGAAGAUAUUGACGUUGGGAAGUUGAGAAGACUCAUGGAACAAGUUGGGAUUUAUUUGCUGGAAAUGAAGUGGAGGACUCGGCUUGGGAAUGAUCCGGUUACUGGGAUGCUUUUGCUACUGGGAUGGUUCCGCUGGAACACGUGGAUGGCCGUUGGGGUGUUGCUUCAUGGAUGAAAGAAAGAGCCGGUUUGGGAGACUGAAAACCAAGCGGCUUGAAGACCUUUUGCGCUGCUGAAAUACUGUUGUUGGGAGGUUGAACGUUGCAAAUGUGCUUGGAAACGGAUGAGACGCGGCUUGGGGACGACGUGAGAUGCCAUGCGGACGGUUUCUGGAUGUUGGAUCGUUGAAGAGUUGGGCAGUUUGGUCAGACGAUCUUGGCUGGGAAGCGGAGUGGUCACGAACGUCGCUGAUAGAAGCCACGCGCUGAGAUGGGGAGCGUUGAAUGUGGAAGCGACACGGGCAGAUGGCUUGCAGACGGUUUGGUUUCGUGUUUCCUUGGCGGAUGAGAUGCCACGGUGCUUGGAAUUGAAGAGCCCGUUUGCAUGU
rnacentral:lncRNA from 1 species